rnacentral:lncRNA from 1 species
AUGGGUCAGCAUUGGGGAGGGGGUCAGAAUGUGACCCCCCCCCCCCACUUGUGUCCCCAUGGCCCUACUCCGGGUUUACUCCACCUUUACACCGCAGUGGGGCUGCUCCGGCCUUACUCAGGCCUUACUCCCUCUUUACUACACUGUUACUCUGAGGUUACACUGUCGGGGUCAGCAUUGCCCCCCACAAUAUACGAUAACGAGGAAGGCUAAUUCCAAUUUUACUCCUCCCUUACUCCAGGUUUACUCAGCCUUUACUCCGGCUUUACUCCAUUCUUAUUCCGGGUUUACUCAGCCUUUACUCUGGAUUUACUCAGCAGUUUGGAUUCUCUGCUAUUCUGCCCUUACUCCAGGUUUAAUACACCUUUACUCAGGGCUUACUCAGCCUUUGGGGUUCAGCCUUUACUCUGAGGUUACUCCGCCCUUCAUGGAGGAUUACUCCAUACCUUAUUUCUACUCAGCCCUUACUCAGCCUUUACUCUGCCUUUCUUCGGGGGUUACUCUGUCAAUACUCAGCCCUUUCUCUGAGGUUACUCCCCCCCACAUCCCGCCUUACUCCGUGUUGAUUGCUUCAAAUCUACUCCAGCUUUACUCAGAGCUUCCCAUCUGA